rnacentral:piRNA from 1 species
CUCUUUCUGUGAAGGGUGCACUCUGC